GCUUAAACAUUUUUAUAAAAUCAGAAAAACUGUUAUUUAUAACUUUAGAUAAAGAGUACAGUGUUCCCCCCAGAAAUUUCAAAUUGCACCAUGAAAAUUAACAAAGUACUAGUUUUCCAAAUAAUCUAGCACCAUAUGCAUGGUCCCUAUACAUUCUAUUCAAAAAUCAUACAAGAUAGCACCAUGGUGGAAAAUAUAGUACCAGGGUACCAGAGUGAUGUAAGGCACUGGGAGAUCACUGUUUAAAGAGUUUAAGUUUAUUAAUUCAUGUUUACUUUAAAUUCAUCAGAAAUUACAUGCUAUUAGGAUUUGUUUCAUCGAAUACAUUAUGACUUCAUUGUAAAUGUACGAGGCAAUCCAAAUUCAUUAAAGGGGGCUGAGGAGUCCUGUUCCAGUUAUGCUUCAGUGAUUCCCUAAAAAUCAACCAAGUGUUUCCCAAAGAGAAGGGAGGGUUAGGGUCCACCCUCCCCCUUAAUCUGCUUCUGCUUAUCAAUCUUCCCCAGGCCACACUUAAAAAUAUUUUGGUUUGCCCAAACCCUACCCAAAGGUUAAGACAGUGGGUAGGUAGGUAGGCAUUUUCUUUUUUUUUCAGAAAAAAGAAAUUGAAGUAUCAGAUGUUUAUUAGUCUUCAUGCCUAUUUGAUUAAAAAAAAACUUCUUCAAAUCAGGACAAUAAAAGAAUUUGAGUAGGCAGCUUUUUUCUGGGUAGGUAGCGUUUGGGCAAACAAACCUAUUAUUUAUUAUGGCCCCAGCUGAAAUUUUUAUCUGAGCAUUCAAUUGCUUGUACAUACAACCAGUUUUAAUAAUCUGAAGGGGCUCAGAAAAUGGGAUAUUUUUUUCAGAAUGUGGAUACUUAAAACCUUUAGUCCAGAGAGACUUGUCAAUUUAAUAAGAAAGUCUUCACAUAGAUCAAAACAUACAUUAGCCAUUAAGUCAGUAUCAUGAGAUUACAUAAAAACUUUGAUACAAUGGAUGACAAAAGAUAUUAUAGAGUUACUUCCCUUGGCAUGUUAC
rnacentral:lncRNA from 1 species